rnacentral:SRP_RNA from 1 species
UAGUAGGUAGGAUCGGGGCGCUAGCCGUGCCCUUUUCUGAAACCGGCUCUAUGCAGAGGUCAGUAACUGCUGGAUAAACUUCCAGAUGGAUAAUUCCCGCUAGAUGUACUGAAAUGAAAUCACGCCGAAGCGGGUGGAUACAGGCACAUGAUUGCUCGAAGGAGUAAUCCUAGUGUCGAAUUGCCGAAAUGGAUGAGGUCCGGGAGGGAGCAAUCCUAAGGCAAAGUAUUCACGCUACUUCGUCAACGUGGCGGAUCUUGUCCGUUUAGAGAUGGGGUUACUCGUUUGGAUCGGAACUGGCAGAUCUACUA